UUGCCACAGUCGGGGCCACCUGGCCAAAGAGUGCCGCAAGCCUAAGAGACAAGAUGGGGCUUGUUACGCAUGUGGCUUGCAAGGACAUGUGGCUAAGGAGUGCAACCAAUACAAGAAGUCGAAGGGCGGGGACAACGAUUAUAAUGUCUCAUAGAUUCUGGCAGCCCGAUAAGUAUUAUUAAAAAACGUUUUAUACCAAGUCAAAUAAAAAUGGAAAAGACUACCUCUUUAAGUUACGUUGGAUUAAAUUUAAGUAAAUUACAAAUACAUGGAAGCGUAAAAUGUUCAGUUAAAUUCUCAAAUAAAGAUACUCCUAUGUUAUUAUA